AGGACGCGGGCGCGGGCCGGGUCCCUGAGUGGCGCGGAGAGAGGGGCAGGGGGCGGGGCCAGGGGGCGGCCCGGGGGCGGAGCCGGCGGUGGGCCCCACCCCUCCCCGCCCGCGCCGCCUCCCCUCCACUGAAAGCUUCCAACGCUCGCUCGGCUGUCAGGCGCGGUGGCCAAGUGAUUCCGUGCUGGCGUCCUCCGCUCCCUUCCCCGCCCCCAGGCUCCGCGGUACCGAGCGCAGGCUGGGCCAGGGCGCCGGGGCUCCCGGGACCACCUGCCGACGGGCCCGGGCGGCCUCUCGUCCCCCGCAGGGCGGGCUCGGCCCGGGGCCCGAGCAGGACGGCCUGGCUGGGCAGUGGUGUCACCGGCCGGGGGAGUCUGGUGUCGCUGGUUUUGCGUAUCAUGAAGGCGAGAGAAGGUUCCAGGAAGCGCAUUCGAGUUUCUGGAGCGAUUUUCUGAUUUCUGUUUGUUCCUUGAAAGUGUGUCUGUGGAGGAACCUGGUCUGUUUCACCUGCAGGGUUCCCCAGAGUCUAGACUUUGCUGACUGCAGACUCUUGUUGUGGUUCGACCAGUUCCUCUGUCCUCCGCGUUUCCUGCAGACUAGCAGCUGGAUCCAGACCCCACCAGCUUCAAUCCUUUUGGCAAGCCUCAGCUCUCACCUCCUUUGAGGAACCUCUGAUUCACCCAGGAAAGAGUUGUGUCUUCUCUUCUCAAAUGACCUAGAUAGAUAAAGGGGCUCCUUAUAUGUUGGCUGAAUGAAUGAACAACGAAAAGAAGUGAGCAACUUCUCUUCCUGCGGUUCUGGAACAGUCAAGCUGGAGAAAUCCCAGAGAAAAUCACAUCCCAGUUCUGCCAGUGACAAAACAGAGGCACAGAGGCAGAGAAUACCUUACUGAAGUUACACAGGAGUGAGGAACUGAAACGGGCUCCAAACACCAAACGAUGACAAGACCGGUGAUGCCGGUGUGGCUUUUCUGCAGUAAUGAUUUCAUGCCAAGCCUGUCUUUCCCCAGAGCUCCGGGACUCUCCCUCUGUCCAAGCUAUCUGGGCCAAGAGAAACAAAAUCCAUGUAAAUUGCCUGAGCAAAGAUGCUGAGACAGAAAGCCCCGUGAAUUCCAUAGUCACAUACAGAAUACUUGAGACUCUUUGCAGCCUUUUUCUCCCUCUGCUUACCAGGACCCCUGUGUCUUCUGUCGAGCUCUUCCUGACUGAUGGCAGGAAGCUGAAAAGUCCCCAGGACAAUCGUGACUGUAGAAGUGGCAUCUGCUAGGCUGUGUGGUCCAGAGGAGGAAGUUGAGUGGAAAGAGCUCGGUAUGGAGUGACCUUGGGUAAACCAUUUCUUUUUUUUUUCUUCAAGUCCCUUCCUCUAUGAGAUGAUCUCUUAGGGAGCCACCAACAAAUUUUCUUGGGCCCCAAAGGGCAACACAGUUCUGGAUGACAGCUCUUUUGAUUUUUUUUUCUUUAAAGAUUGGCCCCUGAGCUAACAUCUGUUGCCAAUCUUUU